UGAUGCUGCUUUGAGAAAUACAAAUUUAAGAGACUCUGAGUUCACUGUUAGCUUCGUAUGGAGUUUUCUUUUCCAAUCUAAAAGGAGAGCUGCUUCCUCGCGCAGUGUCAGCGUCUUGAAGUGCCCCACCCCCGCUCCAUACCCAUCUCCCACCCCACCCACCCCUUCCUUGAAUUCGUGUGUCUGAACACAGUUCUAGUCCAGACUCUACCGCGUUGUGACACGAGGUCAGGCAAUUCCUAUUCUCAGGGUCUCGGUCGCUGCCCGGGACAAGGGUACGGCCGACCCCGACCUUAUCAACAUGGCUGCUGGAAGUGGCUUGCAGGAAGAAGAAAGGUGCGGCACUGAAGAUCACUUCCGCUUCCGUUGGUGCAAAAGCUUUCACUUCUCGUGCUACCGUGACUAAGAUGGAAGCACUGCUGGAGUCGCGGUCCGGACUUUGGGCCGGGGGUCCGGCCCCCGGGCAGUUUUACCGCAUUCCGCCCACUCCCGCUUCCUCUGUGGACCCGGCGUCCGCGCUCUACGGGGGUCCGAUUACGCGCACCCACAACCCCAUGGUGACCGGGACCUCUGUCCUGGGUCUCAAGUUUGAGGGCGGAGUGGUGAUCGCCGCAGACAUGCUGGGCUCCUACGGCUCCUUGGCUCGUUUCCGCAACAUCUCUCGCAUUAUGCGAGUCAACAACAGCACCAUGCUGGGUGCUUCCGGAGACUAUGCUGAUUUCCAGUAUUUGAAGCAAGUUCUCGGGCAAAUGGUGAUUGAUGAGGAGCUGUUGGGAGACGGACACAGCUAUAGUCCUAAAGCUAUUCAUUCAUGGCUGACCAGGGCCAUGUAUAGUCGACGCUCCAAGAUGAACCCCCUGUGGAACACCAUGGUCAUUGGAGGUUAUGCUGAUGGAGAGAGCUUCCUGGGUUAUGUGGACAUGCUCGGUGUAGCCUAUGAAGCCCCUUCGCUGGCCACUGGUUACGGUGCAUACCUGGCUCAGCCUCUGCUGCGAGAAGUUCUGGAGAAGCAGCCAGUGCUGAGCCAGACGGAGGCCCGAGAACUAGUGGAACGCUGCAUGCGAGUGCUAUACUAUCGAGAUGCCCGUUCUUAUAACCGGGUGAGAAGUAUGAAUAGUAAAUGGGGAUCUAAUUGGCAGGCUGUGCAAUUCCUGAGUCUCUAUACUUUGAAGAACAGGCCGUUUCUGUGUCUAUUUUUCACAUUUCAGAAAAGCCCUCCAUGUGACCUUUGACCAGGCCCGAGACUUCUUUGAUGACAGGAUUGGUAUUUUCAUUGAGAGCUCUGCUUUUUUUUUCAGUUUCAAAUCGCUACUGUAACUGAAAAAGGUGUUGAAAUAGAGGGACCCUUGUCUGCGGAGACCAACUGGGAUAUUGCCCACAUGAUCAGUGGCUUUGAAUGAAAUACAGAUGCAUUAUCCAGAACUGAAGUUGUACCCUUCUUAUAACUUUGAACUUGGCUGGUUCAAAGGUAUUAUUCUUUUGUAAAAUAAAUAAAUCCUUUGAAGUGCUGGCUCA